AAUAAAGAGGCUUUCUGCAAAAUUAAAUUCUUCACGUGCACACUGCCCUUGACCAUCUCCAUGUGGCAGUUCCCGAUCCGCGCUGCACCCCACGGAGAAGCUGUGGUGUCCACAGGGAUGCUCCACCUGCAGUGAUGCAGGCACCCCACAUGGCUGUAAGGAGAUGGAUCCCCCUCCCAACUCCCCCCUCGGCACCCGAGGCGCAGGCAGGACUCCGUGCACGCGCAGCAUCAGAUGUGGAAACCUUCGUGCACCAGCCUGGUGCCCAUCAGACGAAGCUGUGCUUUUGGAUCAUCUCCAUCCCUUCUGCCCAGCCAGUCCCAUAGCCUGCCAGGCUGCUCCCAGCUGCAGACAUGCCUUCACGAUGCAGCCCAACACGGCUCUUCUGCUCCACAUUUGGGAGCUUCUCCUCCAGCUGCAGCAGGAGCCAGGCUGAGGUUUGCUGCAGGGGAAGAUCUACCUGUGCCAGAGCACAGCUCAGUCCUGGGCUCCGGGAGGAUAAACCCUCCUUUCCACUGGGACCCCUGAGGGGAGGCAGGACAGUCCUUGUGCCCAGGGGGAGCAGAAGGAGGGAAUUUAAAGUGCAAGUGCCUGAGCACCAUCUUUCCACGUGCUCUGCGCUCCAGAUGACCCACCAGCCCCAAAGUCUCCUGCUAGGACCUCUGCUCUUAAGGCAAAGCCUCCUGACAACUGGCCUGUAAACCAACCAGGGUCAGAGCAGAGCCAUCACCCCUCAGUGGGGCUGGGGAGGUAGCUGACACAGGGGAAAGCUUCCAGCACCCAAAACACAUCUGCUCCCACUUCCCCCUUCUUUCUGAAGAGCAGAGGGGAUGCCAAACCCUGAGGAACUCCAUGCUUCCCCGACUGCAUCCCCACCAGGAGCAAGCUACAGGCCAGAUCCAGCCAUCCGAUGACUGUGCUCACCAGGAGCAUUCCACUCUGCUUCCCAGCAACCACCAGCAGCUCCCCAUAUUGCACCAGCACCCACAUCAGGCACUGAUAUACCCUCCCACCAGGUGCAAGAGUCUCACCCACCCCUCACCCUCCCAGCUUGGAGGCAGCCCUGUGUUUAGGCACAAAGCCAGCAUUCUGGGUAAUUACAGAUGCUUAAUUAAUGACAGCAGGGCACUUUCUUAACAAAGCAAAUUAAUUACAGGCGACGUGCUGCAUUGAGAUCUGAAGGGACUAAUGAAGACCAGGACCACCUGGCCCUCCCCAGCCACAGGGACACAGCUCAGCCCUGCCCCAGAGUCCUCACGGUGCUUGGCAGAGAUAUGUUGUCCAGCUGGGAUUGGGAUGUCACCACUAACCUGCUGGGGAUAAGCCCUCUGCAGAGCAUGGAGAUAAAGCCUGCCCCUGUUUGGGGUCACGCUGUUACCUGGGGUUUGGUGACAGGCUUUGUGACACCCCCUGCUUGAGGGUGGCUCAUGGGGAGGAAGCCAACAUGCCGAGCAAAAUCAUUUUGCUCGGCACAUUGUCUUCUUCCUCAUGAGCCACCUUGAAACUAUAGGUAUCACGGAGCACCCAUGCUCAGCACCUGCAGGAUCUUCUGGGGUCAAAGGCUGGGACGUGGAGGAGAAACCAUCUUGGGAAGCACGGAGCUCACAGCCUCUCCUCCAGCAUGUUGUAGUACUCUGUGGGGAGAAAGGGAGAGCUGGAGGAUGUGCAAGGGCCACCCCUGGGAUCUGAUGGAUAAAGGGAGCUGGGAGGGCUCAGCCUUUGAUUGGGGGCUGCCUGGUUGACGCAUGCUUAAAAAAUGCAUCGAUGCGGUGCUUAGGGACGUGGUUUAGCGAUGGACUUGGCAACGCUGGGUUAAUGGCUGGACUUGAUGAUCUUAAAGGUCUUUUUCAACCUAAAAGAUUCUAUGCUUGAGGGCAAGACAUCCCUCGCUGAGGGACAUGGGGAGAACGUGUCCUUACCUGAUGCUGGUAGGACACUGGGUCCCACGGU